CCGGCGCCGGGACAGGUCUCUCCGCGCCGGCCGCGGCUCUGCGGCCACGAGGGAGGUGAUCGAAAAGGAAAAUGGGAAGUCAGAGGCAGAUUGUACUUAUGCUGAGAAGCGUGGACAGACUCACCCUAUACACAACAGACAGAUAGAGACUGGGAAAAUAGCUGAUUGUGAGUUUAUCUGUCUUUUCAGGCAGAGGGCCCGGAAAGUGAAUUUUGGAAAAGGGAGAGAGAGAGACCUCAGUUCUGAGAAUCUGUGGAUACAUUUGGCUGGAAGAUGAGUAUGAGAAGCCUGAGAAAUGGACAUGGUAGUAUUUCACAGAAAAAUAAGAGAGCUUGAUGCAAGAAGAACUUUGAAAUAUUUGGUAGAGCCACAUGCGACUGAUCAAAAUAUUCACCCUAAGCACACAAAAGAAGAGCGUUAAGAUUUGCUGGAGAUGGGACUCAUUUGCAGAAGAACGUGGCUUUAUUAGAACUUUGGAGACCUUAAUCCAAAGGUUACAAAUUUCUACAAUAAAUGAAAAUGGGAUCACCCUUGUUCCAGUUGAUGCAUGCUCAUGAUCUGGACCCCACAGCUCAAGCAAGACUGAGGGACAAAUCUUGUCAGGCAACGUGGUAAGAAGCUGGAUCAUCUUUCUUCAUCUGCUCACUGCCUUCACAGAAUUUGAAAGUGUGACGAAGUAUUUCAUCCCUUUAAAGGAUUAGGGAUACGGAUUUGCCUGUCAUGGAGGUGCUGCUGGCUGGGUCACUGCCUGGUAGAGGAUGUCUCUUAGACCUGAUGUAACCUGAAGCAUGUGCUUUCUUAGGAGGUCUACAGCUGGGCUGGAGAACUGCAAACGUUCAUCCUUUCACUCCUGUCAUCUGCUUCCACAUGACUGCAGUGCCUGUGCUGUGCUCUCAGCUCACUCACCCUAAAAUGCUCCUUGCGAUGGUUUGUACUGAGCUGCUACAGAGCAGACUUUGCUUUUGGUGGCAGUAUCCCUUUUUGUGUCAUCUAUAGAAGAGAUUACUUCAUCCUUGCCUUUAUUCCACUGGGACCAGCUGCUCUACACACAGGAACCAAAAGUGGCAAAUACCUGUAACCUCUUUCAAUUUCCUAUUGAAGGUCUACAUCACAUGAACUUCUUGGGGUUUUUUGAGAGGUAAAGCUUUUUUAUUUUUUACAAACAAACAAAAAACCCAAAAAAAACCCCAAAACCACAAACCAGAAACCGAAAUAGAACCAACAAAACCAAAACCUACCAAAAAAAAAAAAUCAAACCCCACACAUUGAACCCAAGUUGGAGAAACAGCUGCAUCAUGUGACUGAUACAGAGCAUGGGAGUACAAAGCAUUCCCACUCUGGUCUUGCACAUCCAGUCAUUGUGCCUAUUAAUAGCUGUUAGGCAUGAGUGUAGACAUGGAGAUGGGCAGGACUAGUUUUGCCAUGUGAACAUUUAUCUUGUGGCCUCAUCCUAUUUGCUAGAACCAGAGAUUUCACUGUGAUAAAGUGGACAUCUUAAGUCAUUGUUGGAGACAGGAGGAUGUAGGUUCACUUAAACUAAGCUGGUAUUAGGCAUUGUCAUAUCUUGGAGUAUUCCAGUAAAUAGCAAUUUAUAUAAGCAAUGGAAAUAUGUCCUUCUUAAUCUGUAAAAAGAAAAGGACAGUCUUAAUGAUCUCUCAGUGUUUCAAAUCAUCUUAAGGCAUAUUGAUCCUGAAUCAUCACAGAAAAAUUCAGCAGGGGUGUUCUAUUAGUGAUCUGGGAAUUUAGAUGUGGUUGGAUACAUGGAAAACUGUAUCUUGUUCAGUUGUAUUUAUUACUGUAAUAAAUGAUACCAACUCUCUCUUCCUA